rnacentral:rRNA from 1 species
CCGUCAAUUCCUUUAAGUUUUAGCCUUGCGGCCGUACUCCCCAGGCGGUCCACUUAAUGCGUUAGCUGCGGCACAGCGGGGGUCAAUACCCACUACGCCUAGUGGACACCGUUUACGGCGUGGACUACCAGGGUAUCUAAUCCUGUUUACUACCCACGCUUUCGUGUCUCAGCGUCAGUCUCCGUCCAGGGUGUCGCCUUCGCCACUGGUGUUCCUCCCGAUAUCUACGAAUUCCACCUCUACACCGGGAAUUCCACACCCCUCUCCAGGACUCAAGCUGGGCAGUAUCAGAUGCACUUCCUCGGUUAAGCCGAGGGCUUUCACAUUUGACUUACCCAGCCGCCUACACACGCUUUACGCCCAGUAAUUCCGAACAACGCUUGCACCCUCCGUAUUACCGCGGCUGCUGGCACGGAGUUAGCCGGUGCUUCCUUUGGUGGUACCGUCAGGCAAAGGGUUUAUUGGACCCAAUGCGGUUCUUCCCACCUGACAGGGCUUUACGACCCGAAGGCCUUCUUCA